CAGCAUCAUCAAAGCUUGCUUUGAUGGAUGGCGACCGGCGCACGGGUGAGUAACACGUAUCCAACCUGCCGACAACACUGGGAUAGCCUUUCGAAAGAAAGAUUAAUACCGGAUGGCAUAGUCUUCCCGCAUGGGAUGAUUAUUAAAGAAUUUCGGUUGUCGAUGGGGAUGCGUUCCAUUAGGCAGUUGGCGGGGUAACGGCCCACCUAGUCUUCGAUGGAUAGGGGUUCUGAGAGGAAGGUCCCCACAUUGGAACUGAGACACGGUCCAAACUCC
rnacentral:rRNA from 1 species